GAUGAACGCUGGCGGCGUGCCUAAUACAUGCAAGCCGAGCGAACGGACGAGAAGCUUGCUUCUCUGAUGUUAGCGGCGGACGGGUGAGUAACACGUGGAUAACCUACCUAUAAGACUGGGAUAACUUCGGGAAACCGGAGCUAAUACCGGAUGAUAUUUUGAACCGCAUGGUUCAAAACUGAAAGACGGUCUUGCUGUCACUUAUAGAUGGAUCCGCGCUGCAUUAGCUAGUUGGUAAGGUAACGGCUUACCAAGGCAACGAUGCAUAGCAGACCUGAGAGGGUGAUCGGCCACAAUGGAACUGAGACACGGUCGAGACUACUACGGGAGGCAGCAGUAGGGAAUCUUCCGCAAUGGGCGAAAGCCUGACGGAGCAACGCCGCGUGAGUGAUGAUGGUCUUCGGAUCGUAAAACUCUGUUAUUAGGGAAGAACAUAUGUGUAAGUAACUGUGCACAUCUUGCGGGUACCUAAUCAGAAAGCCACGGCUAACUACGUG
rnacentral:rRNA from 1 species